CUCCCAAGCACGGCCGCCUGCCCGCAGCGCUGUGCGACCUGUGGGGAUCCCAGGGGUGUUCUUGAGGAAGGAUCCACGAAGCGAGUCCGAGGAGGUGCCACUGGCUGCUCUUCCUGCCCGUGACCUGCACUGCCGGCCUUGGCUGCAGCCGCCUGCUGCCGGCAUCUUCGGCCUGUGGGCAUGGUGUGUGUGCAUUGUGUUAAACGUUCGACUGUCGGCUCCCAAUACUGCAGCGCUCACCCAUGUGCUGCUGAUGGUACUGUCCCCACUUCCUUGGUGGUUCAGCAUCCCCGAGGGGAUUCAAGGGAGCAAGCCACUGUAAACUGUGGUCUUUUGCCAUUGUGGAAUAUCCUGCCUGCUGGGAUUGAGCACGUACCUGGAGCAGUAUGGAGGGCUCCUCUGGGAAAGGAGUCAGGGAAUGCACAAAGUGGCAUCACAACCAAAUGAGUUUGCUUUCAAGCCUGGCAACCAGGGCAGAUAGACAAACGUCUCUGGAAGGUUCAGGAUUAAGAUGGGGAGGAAGAUGGUUGGAAGAAACUCUCAAAACAAAGCAUGUUUAAAUAUGUAAUAGGAAUACUCUUGGCUGUGUUUCUGCUUGUGGCUUGGUAACGUUGUUCCAGGAAUUACGUACGUCUGGAUGUUAUGUACUGCUUAAGUAAUUUAAAAGCUAAGAUAAUUUUCCUGAUUGAGAAUAUAGGUAUAGGUCCUCUGCCUCUAGGUUGUACAGUCUAGGUUGUAGAAAAACCCAAACAUCAGAGUUGUAUUUAAUUCUGGAAUAGAAAACUGAAACCUGUUCCAAGGAACAGUAAGAAAACUCACAUAGUUUUGUUUCAUAAAUAACAGUGAUACAACCUUGCUUACUGCAGCUUGCUGUCAUUGCAGGUUUGACUCAGGAAACUAAGUCUGAAAUAUUCUCUCCUUAGAUACUGUGAUCAGUUACUGAGUGAGAGGCAGCUCACCUGCACAACCACUUUCUAUUGAGGAACAAGUGAAUAACGGGUUGAAUGCUGCCAUCCCCUAGCUGGCUGCACAGAAAACUUGUUAAGUUUACAAGUCUUUAAGGUCUCUUUACAAAGGAAAAAAAAAAAACAACAGACUCACAUCAACCACCUUCUUCUCCAAGGAUUGCUCCUUUUCCAAGGAUUGUGGGAGGGUGAGGUCAUCUGGUGAUUUUUUUUAUCAGCCAGCACAAGUAUGUAAAACCUUGCCCCAAAAUGAGUAAUGGAAAUGGGAAGGAAGACUGUAUGGAAAAUACCAGUGGUCAGUAAGAACUUUAGGUUGAGGUUUGUCUUGUGCAGAUGAGCAACAAAAGAAAAACCAUGGAAGAAAUAUCACUCUUUUCUCUGAAGUCUUGAAGUUUGAAAUCUUCUGUUUCCAAGCACUAUUAAUGUAUAGCAAGUUAUAGCCAUUUAUUGUUGUUUUUCUCCUCCUUGAUGGUUAAAUGCUUUCUUCUCACCAAGAAAAUAGAAACAUAGAACCAUAAGCUGAGUUCCUGGAGAGAGAUGCAAUUCUAGAGAGAUGUCUUUUAGGUCUUUUAUUGAUCUGGGAAUAGUGCAUUGAAUCAGCAGCAGAGCAUUCUUGCCAAAA